AUAAAAGUAAAAAAAUUGUCAAACCAAGUAUUUUCGUCUUGGCUGGUUGAAUAGCAUUACCUUCGGGUGUGGAAUUCAAUAUGAUUUAAUUUCAAUAACUUAAAAGAUCACUUAGGUUUUAAUGAAUAACUCAGUUUAUAUACGAAGAGCAUUAGAAGCUUUUAUACCAGAAUCGUAGCUGAAUAUGCGGGAAACAUAUUUUACUUGAAU